rnacentral:rRNA from 1 species
CUACGUGCCAGCAGCCGCGGUAAUACGGAAGGUCCGGGCGUUAUCCGGAUUUAUUGGGUUUAAAGGGAGCGUAGGCUGGAGAUUAAGUGUGUUGUGAAAUGUAGACGCUCAACGUCUGACUUGCAGCGCAUACUGGUUUCCUUGAGUACGCACAACGUUGGCGGAAUUCGUCGUGUAGCGGUGAAAUGCUUAGAUAUGACGAAGAACUCCGAUUGCGAAGGCAGCUGACGGGAGCGCAACUGACGCUUAAGCUCGAAGGUGCGGGUAUCGAACAGGAUUAGAUACCCUGGUAGUCCGCACAGUAAACGAUGGAUGCCCGCUGUUGGUACCUGGUAUCAGCGGCUAAGCGAAAGCAUUAAGCAUCCUACUUGGGGAGUACGCCGGCAACGGUGAAACUCAAAGGAAUUGACGGGGGCCCGCACAAGCGGAGGAACAUGUGGUUUAAUUCGAUGAUACGCGAGGAACCUUACCCGGGCUUGAA